AUUGAACGCUGGCGGCAUGCUUUACACAUGCAAGUCGAACGGCAGCACGGGCUUCGGCCUGGUGGCGAGUGGCGAACGGGUGAGUAAUGCAUCGGAACGUGCCCAUGUUGUGGGGGAUAACUACGCGAAAGCGUGGCUAAUACCGCAUACGCCCUGAGGGGGAAAGCGGGGGAGUUCUUCGGAACCUCGCGCAAUUGGAGCGGCCGAUGUCAGAUUAGCUUGUUGGUGAGGUAAAGGCUCACCAAGGCGACGAUCUGUAGCGGGUCUGAGAGGAUGAUCCGCCACACUGGGACUGAGACACGGCCCAGACUCCUACGGGAGGCAGCAGUGGGGAAUUUUGGACAAUGGGCGCAAGCCUGAUCCAGCCAUGCCGCGUGAGUGAAGAAGGCC
rnacentral:rRNA from 1 species